CCCGCCGGCAAUUGCCGGAGCAUGGUCUGCGCGAUCGCGGUGACCUGCGCGUUGGCGGUGCGGAUAUCGACGUUCGGCUGGAAGAAGAUCUUGAUGACGCCGUAGGUGUUGUAGGAAUUGGCGACGAUGUGUUCGAUGUCGUUGACCGUCGUGGUCAGCGCGCGCUGGAACGGCGUCACGAUGCGUCCAGACAUCUGGUCGGGCGGCAGGCCGGUGUACUGCCAUACCACGCCGAUCACCGGGAUGCGGAUUUCAGGGAAGAUGUCGGUCGGCGUUCGCAGGGCCGCGAGCGGCCCGACGAUCAGAAGAAGAAGAGCCAGCACGACGAAAGUAUAGGGUCGGCUCAGCGCAAUCCGGACGAGCGCAUUCAUAUCGGACUUUUCUCGGUCGUUUCGGGCGCAACAGUAGACCCGCAGGAAAGACCUGUUCCG
rnacentral:misc_RNA from 1 species